rnacentral:rRNA from 1 species
GACGAACGCUGGCGGCGUGCCUAACACAUGCAAGUCGAACGGACAUAAGUUCUUCGGAGUUUAUGUUAGUGGCGGACGGGUGAGUAACGCGUGAGCAACCUGCCUUUCAGAGGGGGAUAACGUUUGGAAACAGACGCUAAUACCGCAUAAGAUAGUAGUAUCGCAUGGUACAGCUAUCAAAGGAGCAAUUCACUGAAAGAUGGGCUCGCGUCCGAUUAGAUAGUUGGUGAGGUAAUGGCUCACCAAGUCAGCGAUCGGUAGCCGGACUGAGAGGUUGAACGGCCACAUUGGGACUGAGACACGGCCCAGACUCCUACGGGAGGCAGCAGUGGGGGAUAUUGCACAAUGGGCGAAAGCCUGAUGCAGCAACGCCGCGUGAGGGAAGACGGUUUUCGGAUUGUAAACCUCUGUCUUCGGUGAAGAACAAAUGACGGUAGCCGAGGAGGAAGCCACGGCUAACUACGUGCCAGCAGCCGCGGUAAAGUCAGUG